rnacentral:rRNA from 1 species
AUGUCACGUCGAGGUACUGCAGAAAAAAGAACUGCAAAAUCCGAUCCAAUUUUUCGUAAUCGAUUAGUUAACAUGGUGGUUAACCGUAUUAUGAAAGACGAAAAAAAUCAUUGGCUUAUCAAAUUCUCUAUCGAGCCGUGAAAAAGAUUCAACAAAAUAGACGAAUCAUAUACUACAUACCCACAUAUUAUACGUGGGUAUAGUGAGAGUGACAUAACUAGUAUGUCGUAA